GAUUAGCUCAGUUGGUUAGAGCGUGGUGCUGAUAACACCAAGGUUGCGGGUUCGAUCCCCGUUCA
rnacentral:tRNA from 1 species